UACGUAGGGGGCAAGCGUUGUCCGGAAUUAUUGGGCGUAAAGCGCUUGUAGGCGGUUUGUCGCGUCUGCCGUGAAAAUCCGGGGCUCAACCCCGGACUUGCGGUGGGUACGGGCAGACUAGAGUGUGGUAGGGGAGACUGGAAUUCCUGGUGUAGCGGUGAAAUGCGCAGAUAUCAGGAGGAACACCGAUGGCGAAGGCAGGUCUCUGGGCGCAUUAAACUGGACGCUGAGGAGCGAAAGCAUGGGGAGCGAACAGG
rnacentral:rRNA from 1 species